GUGAUUGAAGGAAAGUAGAAGAUCCCGUGUGCGGUCCACGAAUGCGUGGGCUAACGACCACAGUAAUCCCCGUCCCUAUCUCCCUUAAUCUCGGCUCAGAUCGUAAAACCGGGAUUCGAUCUCUCUGGUGUUCUGUUUUGGCUGCUCCGCGUUUCAUCCCCCUGGAAUUUGUUGUGUGGGGGAGUAUUUAAGCCUCGUAUCGCAUUUGUCGAGCACGUCUCUUCGCCUUAUCUCUCUCUGUCUCUCUUUCUGCGGAGCGACGGCUUUCGGCUCUCCUCUUGCGUGUCGAAAACGCCGCCACCGAAAGAUAUGACGCAAAAGGCGGUCUUGUGGAAUUUUGAUGGUUAGAGUCUCUUCUUCGCCUCAAAUCGCGACCUUUUUGAUCGAAUAUAUGACGUGUGAUUGUGGAUGUAGUGAGAAUAGCUCAAAGCUCUGCUAAAUAUGGGACUUCCACCUUUUGGAACAGAUCAGAGCUUUGGGUUGCAUUUCUUUUCUCAGGUUUCUGUCACGUCAUAUAUAUCAGUCUAUUUAAGACUUUGGGGGCAGAAGAGAAAGCGUGACAAACUUAUCGGCAAAAAGGAGAUUUGACUUCAUCAUACGGUGUAUUAGAUUGACUUAUGCUCACAAGAUUUAUGUUCUUUUUUGGUUAUGCUUCAGCUCUGAGGAACCAUCCUGUGCUAGAGUAUUGAAAUUUGCGAUGCUUAUCUCCAAAUUUUGAUUUUGAAAUGGAUGAAUUUGUGGUUGAGAAAGCUGCUGGAGGGCAUGAUUUUUCUCGUAAAGGGUCCGGCAUUGUUUUUAUAGAUCAAAACCAUGAGGAUAGAAGCAUUCAAGAUUGCGACAGAUUAGGAUGCAGCACCAGCCUUAAUUCCAUGAAAGGGACCCAAAUUGGUGACCUAGAAAAAGCCAGAUAUGUAAAGGCUACUUUUUGCUCUGCGAGCGAUAAGACCAUUGCAGGAAGCUCUUCUAAAUCAUUAUCUUCAUAUAGCAGCUACCAAAAGUCUUUCCACGAACGACAGAAGCAAACAUUACAACGAGAGAAGGUUAAAGCAGAAAGCAGUAACACCCAAGGGAAUAUUGGAGAUUCAGAGGGCAGCAAUACACAGCAUUUCAUAGACAAAUCAUGGGAGCUAGAAGAUUCAGAAUGUUCAAAAUCCAAUCCCACAAAAGUUGGCAUUCAGAUGUUACUGCCGGAUUUGCCAAUUCUUGAACGGGUAUCUACAAACAGAUCAGACUCGCCAGGUCGCUGCACCAUCGCAUCGAGUUCAAAAUCACAUGAUCAAAUUAACCAUAAUUUUGGUUCGGGCAAUCAGACUGUUUCUUCAAGAUCCUUUUACCGGCAUUCUACUUAUGCAUCUAGAAACUUUGGGAAUGCUGCUAGCCCUGCUCCACAAGGUCUGGGUAUAGAGGCACAUAAGUGUGGUCUUAAAAGUCUAAUUUGCACAUCAGUAUCAGAUGUUCUUCCAUCAGUAUCAGAAUUCUCUCGUGGAGCGAAUUCUGCUGCCAAAGACGAGGGCACAAGUGGCCCCUCAACUGGAAGAUAUUCAGGUUCUACACAUACAGGCAUUUCUGGCUUAAGUCGAUCUCUUCCAGAACAUCGAAUACAUCGACAAACUUUGUUAAAUAUCAGGAGCAGACCUUCCAGCAGGGAUGAAGCAGCUUCAGUUAGAACACGUGUAACUUCUACUGGGGAUGCUAGAACAAGGCUGUCUGAGCAAGGGGUUGGUAAUACCCUUCCAGUACAUGAGCCUGUCGUGAUCGCUCCACCACAGCAGAAUCAAGUUUCUAUCUCAGAUGCUGAUCUGGAAACCUCAUCACGAUCAACUUCCACAGAGUUGCCAAAUGUCUCGCUUAAUUCAUCUGAACAUCGAGGUUCAAGUAGCAGGACUGCUCGAAGUAGAAUGGUUUCUUGUCCUGAAGAUGGGAGCACAAAUAUUCUCCAGGGCUCUUUGGGAGAUAGAGGCAGCUACAGACGCUUCAACAUGGACAGAAUUGAUGAGGUAUUGUUGGCUUUAGAGAGGAUUGAACGAGGCGAGGAAUUAACACCGGAGCAAUUAUCGGUGCUAGAGACAACUUUAUUCUCAGCAGGCGUUAGCUUCAGUGAUCGGCACAGGGACAUGAGAAUGGACAUUGACAAUAUGUCCUAUGAGCUCAAUAAUGUUUGGCGAACAGGAACUGCUAGCCCUGGAGGAGAAAAUGGGAACUGUAAACACAGGGCUUUCAAAGGACCAAUUGUCGGAAUGUCUCAAGAGAAGCUUAUACACUCCUGCUUCUGAAGUUUCGGGAAUCACUGGCUCUGGUGAUGAUACCAAAUGCAGCAUCUGCCAGGAAGAGUAUGUCAGUGAGGAGGAGGUGGGCAAUUUGACAUGCGAGCAUCGCUAUCAUGUGGCCUGCAUCCAUCAGUGGCUUGGGCUGAAGAAUUGGUGCCCAAUUUGCAAAGGAUCGGCUAUUACCCCGUAAAGAACGUCCAAAACUGAAGAAUCGGAUCUUCUCCGUCUGAAGGCAGCUUAGAGAAGCUAAACUAGAAUUGCAGGACCUUCUCUAGGUUCUUGUCCAAACGUCUGCAUACUUUUUUUUUUUAAUGAAAACGCUUGAGUAGAAAUAUUGAUAUCAGGGUCUUACCUUCAGUUUCAUUGGUUUGUAGGUAGUCCUUAUUUAUUUAUUUAUUUAUUAAAAACAUUUGCAUGCUUUAA